AGGAGAGCGAGAGGAGGUGGAAACGUAGGAGGAAGUGACCGAAUACACACGUUACCGAGAUGAGUAACGAGUCACACAGGAAGGACAAUCUUCAGUGCCAGUGCUGGGGAAAAAAACAACAACUCCUAGAACUGGUUCUACUUAGAAGGUUCUUGAAUGGUCACGGAAGCAGUCAGAUGCCCCCCAGGUAUGGCCUUUCCUGGAAGAAACAAG